rnacentral:rRNA from 1 species
UACGUAGGGUGCGAGCGUUGUCCGGAAUUAUUGGGCGUAAAGAGCUCGUAGGCGGUGUGUCGCGUCGGCCGUGAAAACCUGGGGCUUAACUCUGGGCGUGCGGUCGAUACGGGCAUCACUGGAGUUCGGCAGGGGAGACUGGAAUUCCUGGUGUAGCGGUGAAAUGCGCAGAUAUCAGGAAGAACACCAAUGGCGAAGGCAGCUCUCUGGGACGGUACUGACGCUGAGGAGCGAAAGCGUGGGGAGCGAACAGG